rnacentral:misc_RNA from 1 species
GAUGAAGAACGUAGCGAAAUGCGAUAAGUAGUGUGAAUUGCAGAAUUCAGUGAAUCAUCGAAUCUUUGAACGCACAUUGCGCCCGCCAGUAUUCUGGCGGGCAUGCCUGUUCGAGCGUCAUUUCAACCAUCAAGCCCCCGGGCUUGUGUUGGGGACCUGCGGCUGCCCGCAGGCCCUGAAAACCAGUGGCGGGCUCGCUGUCACACCGAGCGUAGUAGCAUCAUCUCGCUCAGGGCGUGCUGCGGGUUCCGGCCGUUAAAAAGCCUCUAAUACCCAAGGUUGACCUCGGAUCAGGUAGGAAGACCCGCUGAACUUAAGCAUAUCAAUAAGCGGAGGA